rnacentral:rRNA from 1 species
UACGUAGGGUGCGAGCGUUAAUCGGAAUUACUGGGCGUAAAGCGUGCGCAGGCGGUUGGUUAAGUCUGAUGUGAAAGCCCCGGGCUCAACCUGGGAAUGGCAUUGGAAACUGUCCAGCUGGAGUGUGGCAGAGGGGGGUGGAAUUCCGCGUGUAGCAGUGAAAUGCGUAGAGAUGCGGAGGAACACCGAUGGCGAAGGCAGCCCCCUGGGCCAACACUGACGCUCAGGCACGAAAGCGUGGGGAGCAAACGGG